UCACUGGUAAGCUGGUCACCUGGAAGCAACGCAUCAGUUAGCCACUGAAAAGGGGUAAUAUUUAUUGACAUACUUUGGAAAAGACUGGAUGAGUUGCUCUGCGACUUCCCACUCUAACAUAUGUUUCUCUGAGUUUCUACAACUUCAGCUAAAUGUUUUAAGGAAGAAAAGAACAACAGAAUAUGUGCUAAUUUUGAUUGAUUGAUGCUCCCUCCUAUAGCAGCAUACAAAUUUUAGAGUGGGAGAAA
rnacentral:lncRNA from 1 species